AUUGAACGCUGGCGGCAGGCCUAACACAUGCAAGUCGAACGGUAACAGGAAGAAGCUUGCUUCUUUGCUGACGAGUGGCGGACGGGUGAGUAAUGUCUGGGAAACUGCCUGAUGGAGGGGGAUAACUACUGGAAACGGUAGCUAAUACCGCAUAACGUCGCAAGACCAAAGAGGGGGACCUUCGGGCCUCUUGCCAUCGGAUGUGCCCAGAUGGGAUUAGCUAGUAGGUGGGGUAACGGCUCACCUAGGCGACGAUCCCUAGCUGGUCUGAGAGGAUGACCAGCCACACUGGAACUGAGACACGGUCCAGACUCCUACGGGAGGCAGCAGUGGGGAAUAUUGCACAAUGGGCGCAAGCCUGAUGCAGCCAUGCCGCGUGUAUGAAGAAGGCCUUCGGGUUGUAAAGUACUUUCAGCGGGGAGGAAGGGAGUAAAGUUAAUACCUUUGCUCAUGGACGUUACCCGCAGAAGAAGCACCGGCUAACUCCGU
rnacentral:rRNA from 1 species